rnacentral:rRNA from 1 species
UGGUCAAGUUAUUAAGGGUGCAGGGCGGAUGCCUUGGCACCGGGAGCCGAUGAAGGACGUGAUAAGCUGCGAUAAGCUCCGGGGAGUUGCACGUAAACUGUGAUCCGGAGAUUUCCGAAUGAGGAAACUCACCAUAAGUAAUGUUAUGGUAUCGUAAGGUGAAUACAUAGCCUUACGAGGGGAACUCGGGGAACUGAAACAUCUAAGUACCCGAAGGAAGAGAAAGAAAUUCGAUUCCGUCAGUAGCGGCGAGCGAAAGCGGAAGAGCCCAAACCAGAGAAGUUUUCUUCUCUGGGGUUGCGGACAUAUCAUCAAGGAAGAGGCUAUUGCAGACGAAGAGUUCUGGAAAGCUCCGCCACAGAAGGUAACAGCCCUGUAGUCGAAGCAAGAAGACUUCCGAUAUGAUCCAGAGUACCACGGGACACGUGAAACCCUGUGGGAAGCAGGAGGGACCACCCUCCAAGGCUAAAUACUACCCGGUGACCGAUAGCGUAUAGUACCGUGAGGGAAAGGUGAAAAGAACCCCGGGAGGGGAGUGAAAGAGAACCUGAAACCCUGCACCUACAAGCUGUGGGAGCACAUUACUUGUGUGACCGCGUACUUUUUGUAGAACGGGCCAACGAGUUACGUUAUGCAGCAAGGUUAAGCACUUAAGGUGCGCAGCCGCAGCGAAAGCGAGUCUUAACCGGGCGUCAAGUUGCAUGACGUAGACCCGAAACCGGGUGACCUAUCCAUGGGCAGGUUGAAGCGAAAGUAAAAUUUCGUGGAGGACCGAACCCACGAGCGUUGAAAAGCUCGGGGAUGACCUGUGGAUAGCGGUGAAAUUCCAAUCGAACCCGGAGAUAGCUGGUUCUCCCCGAAAUAGCUUUAGGGCUAGCCUCAGAUUCAGAGACGUGGAGGUAGAGCACUGAAUGUCCUAGGGGGUAUUGCACCUACCGAAGACUAUCAAACUCCGAAUGCCAUAGUCUUUUAUCUGGGAGUCAGACCGUGGGUGAUAAGAUUCACGGUCGAGAGGGCAACAGCCCAGACCGUCGACUAAGGUCCCAAAAUACAGGUUAAGUGGUAAAGGAUGUGGGAUUGCACAGACAACCAGGAUGUUGGCUUAGAAGCAGCCACUCAUUCAAAGAGUGCGUAAUAGCUCACUGGUCGAGUGAUCCUGCGCCGAAGAUUUCCGGGGCUGAAACCUGUUACCGAAGUCACGGCAUCAUUUUGAUGGGUAGGGGAGCUUUCCCUGCGGGUUGAAGCAUGACCGUAAGGACAUGUGGACUGCAGGGAAGUGAGAAUGUUGGCAUGAGUAGCGAGAUGUGGGUGAGAAUCCCACAGGCCGUAAACCCAAGGUUUCCAGGGGAAGGUUCGUCCUCCCUGGGUUAGUCGGGACCUAAGCCGAGGCCGAAAGGCGUAGGUGAUGGACAACAGGUGGAAAUUCCUGUACCGCCGACAGGCGUUUGAGAGAAGGGAUGACACAGAAGGAUAGUAUGAGCGUGCUGUUGGUUAUGCACGUCCAAGCACUGAGGCAGUAUCUGAAGGCAAAUCCGCAGAUGCAAUGCUGGAGUGUUACGGGGAGCGAAAUCUAGUAGCGAAGCAUACGUGUUCACGCUGUCGAGAAAAGUCUCUAUCGAGUCUGAAGGCGCCCGUACCGCAAACCGACACAGGUGGGUGAGGAGAGUAUCCUAAGGCCAGCGAGAGAACUGUUGUUAAGGAACUCGGCAAAAUGACCCCGUAACUUAGGGAUAAGGGGUGCCACCGCAAGGUGGCCGCAGAGAAUAGGCCCAAGCGACUGUUUACCAAAAACAUAGGUUUCUGCCAAGUCGCAAGACGAUGUAUAGGAGCUGACGCCUGCCCGGUGCUGGAAGGUUAAGGGGAUCUGUCAGAGCAAUCGAAGCAGUGAACUUAAGCCCCAGUAAACGGCGGCCGUAACUAUAACGGUCCUAAGGUAGCGAAAUUCCUUGUCGGGUAAGUUCCGACCCGCACGAAAGGCGUAACGAUUUGGGCACUGUCUCAACAACAGACUCGGUGAAAUUGUAGUUCCGGUGAAGAUGCCGGAUACCUGCGACAGGACGGAAAGACCCCAUGGAGCUUUACUGCAGCCUGGCAUUGGGUCUUGGUACUACAUGUACAGCAUAGGUGGGAGGCUGAGAUUCCGGGACGCCAGUUCCGGCGGAGCCGUCGUUGGGAUACCACCCCUGUAGUACCGGGGCUCUAACCAGAGGCCUUGAAUCAGGUCUUGGGACACUGUCAGGCGGGCAGUUUGACUGGGGCGGUCGCCUCCCAAAAGGUAACGGAGGCGCUCAAAGGUUCUCUCAGCACGGUCGGAAAUCGUGCACAGAGUGUAAAGGCAUAAGAGAGCUUGAUUGCAAGACAUACAGGUCGAGCAAGGUAGAAAUACGGACUUAGUGAUCCGGUGGUUCUGAGUGGAAGGGCCAUCGCUCAACGGAUAAAAGCUACCCUGGGGAUAACAGGCUUAUCUCCCCCAAGAGUCCACAUCGACGGGGAGGUUUGGCACCUCGAUGUCGGCUCAUCACAUCCUGGGGCUGUAGUAGGUCCCAAGGGUUGGGCUGUUCGCCCAUUAAAGUGGUACGCGAGCUGGGUUCAGAACGUCGUGAGACAGUUCGGUCCCUAUCCGUCGCAGGCGCAGGAAAUCUGAGAGGAUCUGUCCCUAGUACGAGAGGACCGGGAUGGACGUACCGCUGGUGUACCAGUUGUCUCGCCAGAGGCAUGGCUGGGUAGCUAUGUACGGAACGGAUAAGCGCUGAAAGCAUCUAAGCGCGAAGCCAGCCUCGAGAUAAGAUUUCCCAUCCUUCGGGAGUAAGACCCCAUGAAGACUACGUGGUUGAUAGGUCAGAGGUGGAAGUGCAGCAAUGUAUGCAGCUUACUGAUACUAAUAGGUCGAGGACUUGACCAA